rnacentral:rRNA from 1 species
UAUGUGAUCGUCUCUUGCAUAUCAAUAAGCGGAGGAAAAGAAACUAACAAGGAUUCCCCUAGUAACGGCGAGUGAAGCGGGAAGAGCUCAAAUUUGAAAUCUUAAAGGGUUUCCCUUUACGAAUUGUAGUUUAAAGAAGUGUUUUCUGUUGAGGUUUUGGUAAAAGUUCUUUGGAAUAGGACAUCAUAGAGGGUGAGAAUCCCGUAUUUGACCUUUACUUUCAACUUUGUGAUACACUUUCAAAGAGUCGGAUUGUUUGGGAAUGCAGUCCAAAAUGGGUGGUAAAUUUCAUCUAAAGCUAAAUACUUGGCGAGAGACCGAUAGCGAACAAGUACCGUGAGGGAAAGAUGAAAAGAACUUUGAAAAGAGAGUUAAACAGUACGUGAAAUUGUCAAAAGGGAAGCGUUUGACACCAGUGUUGUUUUUCUGAAAAUCAAUUAAAGAACUGUUUAUGCUAAGUUGUUUAGACUUUAUCAGCUAACUGUUUAGUUUUGAGCUUUUCUUUAAUGCACUUUUCAGUUAACAAGUCAACAUCAAUUUCUUUUGCUGUAAAAAAGCUUGAGGAAGGUGGCUUGAGAUUCGUCUUAAGUGUUUAUAGCCUCUUGCCUAUGCAGUCGGAGAGAUUGAGGUCUGCAGCGUAGAUCCUUCGGGGCUAAAUGCAUUUGUGCUAAGUUAUAAGCAUUUUAUAGACAACUUGUUGACUAUGAUUUGUCUUGUAGCUUACUCGCUUAUGUUAUUUUACCUACGCUUAGGAUGUUGAGUAGCGACAUACGCAC